AGAUUGAACGCUGGCGGCAUGCCUAACACAUGCAAGUCGAACGGGAGUAGCAAUACUCUAGUGGCGGACGGGUGAGGAAUACGUAGGAAUUUGCCCUUAAGUGGGGGAUAACCCGGGGAAACCCGGAUUAAUAUCGCAUGACCUCGAAAGAGCAAAGUGGGGGAUCGCAAGACCUCACGCUUUUGGAGAAGCCUACGUCGGAUUAGCUAGUUGGUGAGGUAAUGGCUCACCAAGGCGACGAUCCGUAACUGGUCUGAGAGGAUGAUCAGUCACACCGGAACUGAGACACGGUCCGGACUCCGUACGGGAGGCAGCAGGUGGGAAUUAGUUGGACAAGUGGGCGA
rnacentral:rRNA from 1 species